GACCUGGACAAGAUUGGAGACUAUUAUUCUAAGUGAAGUAACUCAGUAAUUCUUGAUAUUCCUUUAUUAGUUGGGUAUAUUACAAAUAUCUUCUCUGGCUUAUCAAUUCACCUUUGUAGGAUCUUUUGACAAUCACAAGUUUUCAAUUGUAAUAGAAUUGAAAUCACCAAUCUUUCUUAUUAGAUUUUGUGCUUAUUGUGUUUUGCAUCAGGAAUCCUUCCCAACCCUAAAGCCAUGAAAAAUUUCUCC
rnacentral:lncRNA from 1 species